rnacentral:rRNA from 1 species
UACGGAGGGUGCGAGCGUUGUCCGGAAUCACUGGGCGUAAAGGGCGCGUAGGCGGCCCGCGCAAGCGUGCGGUGAAAGCCCGGGGCUCAACCCCGGGUCGGCCGUGCGGACUGCGGGGCUCGAGCACUGUAGGGGCAGAUGGAAUUCCGGGUGUAGCGGUGGAAUGCGUAGAGAUCCGGAAGAACACCGGUGGCGAAGGCGGUCUGCUGGGGUCGAACUGACGCUGAGGCGCGACAGCGUGGGGAGCAAACAGG